rnacentral:rRNA from 1 species
UACGUAGGGUGCAAGCGUUGUCCGGAAUUAUUGGGCGUAAAGAGCUCGUAGGCGGUUUGUCGCGUCUGCCGUGAAAGUCCGGGGCUCAACUCCGGAUCUGCGGUGGGUACGGGCAGACUAGAGUGAUGUAGGGGAGACUGGAAUUCCUGGUGUAGCGGUGAAAUGCGCAGAUAUCAGGAAGAACACCCGUGGCGAAGGCGGCUCUCUGGAACGCAACUGACGCUGAGACGCGAAAGCGUGGGGAGCAAACAGG